ACCGAUAGAAGCGCUAGUGGGAAAGCGUAAUAAGAUUUGAUCCAUUCACGAAUACCUGCUGGAAGUGUAUUGCUACAUAUUACUCUUAUGAAAUAUAACGAAGAAAUGAUUAAGAUUUACAGAAGAAUUUUGUCUGUACGUACACGCACACGUAAGAAACACAUUAUUAAUUCCAAUUUUGGGGAAAAACGGUGUCACUGUCCCGUGAUUGCACUUUAUAUCGUUCAGGGUUAACGAAUCAAUAAACAAUGAAAAGAAGCUGUGUGACCCAAUGAAGUACUGCUACGUCACAGAGGUGCUUAAGGCCCGCUCGGCUCUUCCUCAAAAUUGUGUCUUUCCAAUCCGCGGCUAACAUAAUACGCAUAGAGGUAUCAUCCACUGCGUUUGAUAUCUACCGGAGAUCAUGCGUUCCUGUUCAUGAAUCGGUUAAAUUGUUGAUUAUGUCCAUUCUACCUACUAACUACAGAUUUACUGGAGGAUUAUAAGUAUGAAUGUAAAUAAUUUAAUAUUCAUACAACUCUACAUACAUGUGUAACUAAUGUCCCAUACGAUAAGUACUUGCGUGACAAAUGAACUCGAGCUGGUCUCAUGGAGCGAUCGCCACUGCACAUAAUCAUAGAGCAGUAAACUAUUGCUAUCAAUAGCAAAAAUAACUUAUCAACUUUUACACAAUUAGUUUGUACAACAAUAAAUGUAGUUAUGUAUAAAGAUA